GCCGAGGUGGCGGAACUGGCAGACGCACAGGACUCAAAAUCCUGCGAUCGCAAGGUCAUGAGGGUUCGAUUCCCUCCCUCGGCACCA
rnacentral:tRNA from 1 species